UAUCGGUCUGUUUCUGUUUGAUGUAUUUUACAGUUUCAAUGCAGUGUAGUAUCUGAUUGUUUAUUUUGUGGUUCUGUAUGCAUGAAUAACUGUUUAAUCUAUUAUGGUUUGAAUUAUUGUGAACCCGAUGUUGUGUUGCCUUGUUUUGGUGUGCGUUGCUGGUUUACGUAUUUAUGUUGAUUGAAUAAUUGAGAUUAUGAAAAGAAUGAAAAAAGAUAUGUGAAUUGAUAAAUGG
rnacentral:lncRNA from 1 species